UAGGGAAUCUUCGGCAACGGACGAAAGUCUGACCGAGCAACGCCGCGUGAGUGAAGAAGGUUUUCGGAUCGUAAAACUCUGUUGGUAGAGAAGAACGUUGGUGAGAGUGGAAAGCUCAUCAAGUGACGGUAACUACCCAGAAAGGGACGGCUAACUACGUGCCAGCAGCCGCGGUAAUACGUAGGUCCCGAGCGUUGUCCGGAUUUAUUGGGCGUAAAGCGAGCGCAGGUGGUUUAUUAAGUCUGGUGUAAAAGGCAGUGGCUCAACCAUUGUAUGCAUUGGAAACUGGUAGACCUGAGUGCAGGAGAGGAGAGUGGAAUUCCAUGUGUAGCGGUGAAAUGCGUAGAUAUAUGGAGGAACACCGGUGGCGAAAAGCGGCUCUCUGGCCUGUAACUGACACUGAGGCUCGAAAGCGUGGGGAGCAAACAGGAUUAGAUACCCUGGUAGUCCACGCCGUAAACGAUGAGUGCUAGAUGUAGGGAGCUAUAAGUUCUCUGUAUCGCAGCUAACGCAAUAAGCACUCCGCCUGGGGGAGUACGACCGCAAGG
rnacentral:rRNA from 1 species